rnacentral:lncRNA from 1 species
CGCGGCUCCCGCCGCCGCCCCACAGAGAACGCAGCGCCCGCGGCGGGAGCGGCGCCACGCGGGCCACGGCACCAAAGAGCCCCGGCAGCAGCUCCGGCCCGGUAGCUCCGGCCCAGUAGCUACAGCCCACCGUGCCGCCCGCCGUACCCACCGCGCUCCGCGGCCGCCACCACACACUCACAAACCCGGGGCCGCGCGCUGCCCCAGCAGCGCCCGCGAUGGGCAGCGAGAGCAGGCCCGGGCCCGCCCCCUCCGGUACGGCCCCGCCUCCCGAGCCGGUGGCGCGCGGCCGCCGUGAGGGGGUCGGGCGGCCCCAGGGGCCUGAAGAGGAGCAGCGCGUCAUGGCACGGCAGGCACGUCUCAGUGAGCGGAAUUAUUCUAACGAGCCGUCAUUUGACCUUAGUGUUAGUUAUGGGCAGCUUAUUGCUUUUGUACUAUUAAUGAAUCCUGGUAGCACACCAAUGUAGUGAAUCUUGGAAAUUUGCUAAUCAACAUGUGUCACUCCAGUGUUCCUGUCAGACAAAGUUGUGAGGUAAGAACCUGCUGAAAGACGCUAAAGGAAAUAUAUAGUACAUAAAGUAAGAUGGGUUUCAGAAAAGCUGUAGAAACAUUAAUGAUGCAAAUAUUUUUUGCAUUUCCUCCUUAUUUUUUUCUAUAUUUUUAUUCAGGUUUUUAUUUUAGACAGAUUUACCAAAU